CACAGGGGGGCUGGAUUGGCUAGCUGAGAUUGAGAACCUUAAUUCUUUGACCCUAAAACCUGAACUGGAUAAUGCCAGCGUAGGAAGUUGUUUAUUUAAA
rnacentral:ncRNA from 1 species